GGAGUUGAUUAGAUAACCGCUGUUUCUUGAUGUAUUUGAAUACAUUAUACGAUGGAAGAGAGGAAAGUCCGGGCUCCACAGAGCAAGGUGCCAGGUAAUUCCUGGGAGACGUGAGUCUACGACUAGUGCAACAGAAAAUAAACCGCCUAAUGUGUGUAUCAUGAUAGGUAAGGGUGAAAUGGUGUGGUAAGAGCACACCACAUGACUGGUAACAGUUUAUGGUAUUGUAAACAUCCACUUGGAGCAAGGCCAAAUAGUAGUUCAUAAAGUAUGGCUCGUACUGAAAACUUUGGGUAGGCCGCUUGAGUCAGCAUGUGAAUGUUGAUCUAGAUGAAUGGUUAUCUUCGACAGAACCCGGCUUAAAAAUCAACUCCAAGA
rnacentral:RNase_P_RNA from 1 species